rnacentral:rRNA from 1 species
UACAUGUGGGGCAAGCGUUGUUCGGAAUUACUGGGCGUAAAGGGCUCGUAGGCGGCCAACUAAGUCGGAUGUGAAAUCCCCAAGCUUAACUUGGGAACUGCAUCCGAUACUGGAUGGCUUGAAUCCGGGAGAGGGAUGCAGAAUUCCAGGUGUAGCGGUGAAAUGCGUAGAUAUCAGGAGGAACACCGGUGGCGAAGGCGGGUCUCUGGGCCGAUACUGACGCUGAGGAGCGAAAGCGUGGGGAGCGAACAGG